UACGAAGGGGGCUAGCGUUGCUCGGAAUCACUGGGCGUAAAGCGCACGUAGGCGGAUUGCUAAGUCAGGGGUGAAAUCCCGGAGCUCAACUCCGGAACUGCCUUUGAUACUGGCGAUCUUGAGUCCGGGAGAGGUGAGUGGAACUGCGAGUGUAGAGGUGAAAUUCGUAGAUAUUCGCAAGAACACCAGUGGCGAAGGCGGCUCACUGGCC
rnacentral:rRNA from 1 species